GAUCCUGGCUCAGGAUGAACGCUGGCGGCGUGCCUAACACAUGCAAGUCGAGCGAUUCUCUUCGGAGAAGAGCGGCGGACGGGUGAGUAACGCGUGGGUAACCUGCCCUAUACACACGGAUAACAUACCGAAAGGUAUGCUAAUACGAGAUAACAUAAGAGAUUCGCAUGGAUUUCUUAUCAAAGCUUUUGCGGUAUAGGAUGGACCCGCGUCUGAUUAGCUAGUUGGUGAGGUAACAG
rnacentral:rRNA from 1 species